rnacentral:tRNA from 1 species
GUCCCUGUCGAUUAGUGGUUAAAUCACCCCGUUGUGGCCGUGGAGCCGCAGGUUCAAUUCCUGCCAGGGACA